rnacentral:rRNA from 1 species
UACGAGGGAGGCGAGCGUUGUUCGGAAUUAUUGGGCGUAAAGGGUGCGUAGGCGGCCUGACAAGUCUGAUGUGAAAUCCCUGGGCUCAACCCAGGGCCUGCAUCGGAAACUGUCGGGCUUGAGUAUGGGAGAGGUGAGUGGAAUUUCCGGUGUAGCGGUGAAAUGCGUAGAUAUCGGAAGGAACACCUGUGGCGAAAGCGGCUCACUGGACCAUUACUGACGCUGAGGCACGAAAGCUAGGGGAGCAAACAGG